rnacentral:sRNA from 10 species
UUGCCCCAUGAUGCUCAGGUCCGCCGCAUCUCCUGGUCUCGUGGGGUCGACCGGCUGACGGUAACCGGCUUCCUCGUGCCGCUGCCGUUAGCCGGUCGGUCUCGUG